rnacentral:rRNA from 1 species
AUUGAACGCUGGCGGCAGGCCUAACACAUGCAAGUCGAGCGGAUGAGGGGUGCUUGCACCCUGAUUCAGCGGCGGACGGGUGAGUAAUGCCUAGGAAUCUGCCCGAUAGUGGGGGACAACGUUUCGAAAGGAACGCUAAUACCGCAUACGUCCUACGGGAGAAAGUGGGGGCUCUUCGGACCUUACGCUAUCGGAUGAGCCUAGGUCGGAUUAGCUAGUUGGUGGGGUAAAGGCUCACCAAGGCGACGAUCCGUAACUGGUCUGAGAGGAUGAUCAGUCACACUGGAACUGAGACACGGUCCAGACUCCUACGGGAGGCAGCAGUGGGGAAUAUUGGACAAUGGGCGAAAGCCUGAUCCAGCCAUGCCGCGUGUGUGAAGAAGGUCUUCGGAUUGUAAAGCACUUUAAGUCGGGAGGAAGGGCUGCAGGUUAAUACCUUGCAGCCUUGACGUUACCGACAGAAUAAGCACCGGCUAACUACGUGCCAGCCGCCGCAGUAACAC